rnacentral:rRNA from 1 species
GAUGAACGCUAGCGGCAGGCUUAACACAUGCAAGUCGAGGGGCAGCAUAAUGAAGUAGCAAUACGGAAUUGAUGGCGACCGGCGCACGGGUGCGUAACGCGUAUGUAACCUACCUCUAACAGGGGGAUAACACUGAGAAAUUGGUACUAAUACCCCAUAACACUUGAUAGGGCAUCCUAUUGAGUUGAAAGUUCCGGCGGUUAGAGAUGGACAUGCGUUGUAUUAGCUAGAUGGUGAGGUAACGGCUCACCAUGGCGACGAUACAUAGGGGGACUGAGAGGUUAACCCCCCACACUGGUACUGAGACACGGACCAGACUCCUACGGGAGCAGCAGUGAGGAAUAUUGGUCAAAUGGACGCAAGUCUGAACCAGCCAUGCCGCGUGCAGGAUGACGGCUCUAUGAGUUGUAAACUGCUUUUGUACAAGGGUAAACCCCGAUACGUGUAUCGGGCUGAAAGUACUGUACGAAUAAGGAUCGGCU